rnacentral:rRNA from 1 species
ACUCCUACGGGAGGCAGCAGUGGGGAAUUUUGGACAAUGGGCGAAAGCCUGAUCCAGCAAUGCCGCGUGUGUGAAGAAGGCCUUCGGGUUGUAAAGCACUUUUGUCCGGAAAGAAAUCCUUGGCUCUAAUACAGUCGGGGGAUGACGGUACCGGAAGAAUAAGCACCGGCUAACUACGUGCCAGCAGCCGCGGUAAUACGUAGGGUGCGAGCGUUAAUCGGAAUUACUGGGCGUAAAGCGUGCGCAGGCGGUUUGCUAAGACCGAUGUGAAAUCCCCGGGCUCAACCUGGGAACUGCAUUGGUGACUGGCAGGCUAGAGUAUGGCAGAGGGGGGUAGAAUUCCACGUGUAGCAGUGAAAUGCGUAGAGAUGUGGAGGAAUACCGAUGGCGAAGGCAGCCCCCUGGGCCAAUACUGACGCUCAUGCACGAAAGCGUGGGGAGCAAACAGGAUUAGAAACCCUGGUAGUCCCAUGAU